rnacentral:rRNA from 1 species
UGACGUUAACGGCGGACGGGUGAGUAACACGUGGGCAACCUGCCUGUAAGACUGGGAUAACUUCGGGAAACCGAAGCUAAUACCGGAUAGGAUCUUCUCCUUCAUGGGAGAUGAUUGAAAGAUGGUUUCGGCUAUCACUUACAGAUGGGCCCGCGGUGCAUUAGCUAGUUGGUGAGGUAACGGCUCACCAAGGCAACGAUGCGUAGCCGACCUGAGAGGGUGAUCGGCCACACUGGGACUGAGACACGGCCCAGACUCCUACGGGAGGCAGCAGUAGGGAAUCUUCCGCAAUGGACGAAAGUCUGACGGAGCAACGCCGCGUGAGUGAUGAAGGCUUUCGGGUCGUAAAACUCUGUUGUUAGGGAAGAACAAGUACAAGAGUAACUGCUUGUACCUUGACGGUACCUAACCAGAAAGCCACGGCUAACUACGUGCCAGCAGCCGCGGUAAUACGUAGGUGGCAAGCGUUAUCCGGAAUUAUUGGGCGUAAAGCGCGCGCAGGCGGUUUCUUAAGUCUGAUGUGAAAGCCCACGGCUCAACCGUGGAGGGUCAUUGGAAACUGGGGAACUUGAGUGCAGAAGAGAAAAGCGGAAUUCCACGUGUAGCGGUGAAAUGCGUAGAGAUGUGGAGGAACACCACUGGCGAAGGCGGCUUUUUGGUCUGUAACUGACGCUGAGGCGCGAAAGCGUGGGGGAGCAAACAGGAUUAGAUACCCUGGUAGUCCACGCCGUAAACGAUGAGUGCUAGGUGUUAGAGGGUUUCCGCCCUUUAGUGCUGCAGCUAACGCAUUAAGCACUCCGCCUGGGGAGUACGGUCGCAA